CUGGCGGCGUGCCUAAUACAUGCAAGUAGAACGCUGAAGAGAGGAGCUUGCUCUUCUUGGAUGAGUUGCGAACGGGUGAGUAACGCGUAGGUAACCUGCCUUGUAGCGGGGGAUAACUAUUGGAAACGAUAGCUAAUACCGCAUAACAAUGGAUGACACAUGUCAUUUAUUUGAAAGGGGCAAUUGCUCCACUACAAGAUGGACCUGCGUUGUAUUAGCUAGUAGGUGAGGUAAUGGCUCACCUAGGCGACGAUACAUAGCCGACCUGAGAGGGUGAUCGGCCACACUGGGACUGAGACACGGCCCAGACUCCUACGGGAGGCAGCAGUAGGGAAUCUUCGGCAAUGGGGGCAACCCUGACCGAGCAACGCCGCGUGAGUGAAGAAGGUUUUCGGAUCGUAAAGCUCUGUUGUAAGUCAAGAACGGGUGUGAGAGUGGAAAGUUCACACUGUGACGGUAGCUUACCAGAAAGGGACGGCUAACUACGUGCCAGCAGCCGCGGUAAUACGUAGGUCCCGAGCGUUGUCCGGAUUUAUUGGGCGUAAAGCGAGCGCAGGCGGUUUGAUAAGUCUGAAGUUAAAGGCUGUGGCUCAACCAUAGUUCGCUUUGGAAACUGUCAAACUUGAGUGCAGAAGGGGAGAGUGGAAUUCCAUGUGUAGCGGUGAAAUGCGUAGAUAUAUGGAGGAACACCGGUGGCGAAAGCGGCUCUCUGGUCUGUAACUGACGCUGAGGCUCGAAAGCGUGGGGAGCGAACAGGAUUAGAUACCCUGGUAGUCCACGCCGUAAACGAUGAGUGCUAGGUGUUGGAUCCUUUCCGGGAUUCAGUGCCGCAGCUAACGCAUUAAGCACUCCGCCUGGGGAGUACGACCGCAAGGUUGAAACUCAAAGGAAUUGACGGGGGCCCGCACAAGCGGUGGAGCAUGUGGUUUAAUUCGAAGCAACGCGAAGAACCUUACCAGGUCUUGACAUCCCGAUGCUAUUUCUAGAGAUAGAAAGUUACUUCGGUACAUCGGUGACAGGUGGUGCAUGGUUGUCGUCAGCUCGUGUCGUGAGAUGUUGGGUUAAGUCCCGCAACGAGCGCAACCCCUAUUGUUAGUUGCCAUCAUUCAGUUGGGCACUCUAGCGAGACUGCCGGUAAUAAACCGGAGGAAGGUGGGGAUGACGUCAAAUCAUCAUGCCCCUUAUGACCUGGGCUACACACGUGCUACAAUGGUUGGUACAACGAGUUGCGAGUCGGUGACGGCGAGCUAAUCUCUUAAAGCCAAUCUCAGUUCGGAUUGUAGGCUGCAACUCGCCUACAUGAAGUCGGAAUCGCUAGUAAUCGCGGAUCAGCACGCCGCGGUGAAUACGUUCCCGGGCCUUGUACACACCGCCCGUCACACCACGAGAGUUUGUAACACCCGAAGUCGGUGAGGUAACCUUUUGGAGCCAGCCGC
rnacentral:rRNA from 1 species